rnacentral:rRNA from 1 species
CCUACGGGUGGCUGCAGUGGGGGAUAUUGCACAAUGGGGGGAACCCUGAUGCAGCGACGCCGCGUGGGUGACGGAGUGCUUCGGCAUGUAAAGCCCUAUCGGCAGGGAAGAAGCAAGACGGUACCUGACUAAGAAGCCCCGGCUAACUACGUGCCAGCAGCGGCGGUAAUACGUAGGGGGCGAGCGUUAUCCGGAUUCACUGGGUGUAAAGGGAGCGUAGGCGGGAAAGCAAGCCAGGGGUGAAAGCCCGGGGCUCAACCCUGGAACUGCUCUUGAAACUGCAUGGCUGGAGUGCGGGAGGGGCAGGCGGAAUUCGUGGUGUAGCGGUGAAAUGCGUAGAGAUCAGGAGGAACACUGGCGGCGAAGGCGACCUGCUGGACCGCGACUGACGUUGAGGCGCGAAAGCGUGGGGAGCGAACAGGAUUAGAUACCCGAGUAGUC